GGGCCGGAUGGACACUGGCUAGUCCGAGCAGUCUGUAAAACUGCCGCGCCUAGAGCGCUUUGAGGGUUCGAGCCCCUCCCGUCCCACCA
rnacentral:tRNA from 1 species